rnacentral:tRNA from 1 species
UGUGAAGUAGCUGUGUGGUAAAGCUCUUUCCUAGCAUAUGUGAGGCCCUGGGUUCCACCCCCAGCAUCACAG